rnacentral:rRNA from 1 species
GACGAACGCUGGCGGCGUGCUUAACACAUGCAAGUCGAACGGAAAGGCCCCUUUGGGGGUACUCGAGUGGCGAACGGGUGAGUAACACGUGAGUAACCUGCCCUUGACUUCGGGAUAACUUCAGGAAACUGGGGCUAAUACCGGAUAGGAAUCCUUGCUGCAUGGUGGGGGUUGGAAAGCUUCGGCGGUUUUGGAUGGACUCGCGGCUUAUCAGCUUGUUGGUGGGGUAGUGGCUUACCAAGGCUUUGACGGGUAGCCGGCCUGAGAGGGCGACCGGCCACAUUGGGACUGAGAUACGGCCCAGACUCCUACGGGAGGCAGCAGUGGGGAAUAUUGCACAAUGGGCGGAAGCCUGAUGCAGCAACGCCGCGUGCGGGAUGAUGGCCUUCGGGUUGUAAACCGCUUUCAGCAGGGGCGAAGCUUUUGUGACGGUACCUGCAGAAGAAGCACCGGCUAACUACGUG